AAAAACCCAAUUCUUGGGUUUUAGUGUCCAGCGUUUGACUGCCCGUCUUAUAUGAAAUUUUUUAUUAUUAGUAUUUUCAUUGUUGUUAGAUGAUAAAACAUGAAUAAUACUUUACGUGUGAUUUAUCUUUUUAAUUUUUUUAAAUAAGACGGACGGUCAAACAUUGGACACGGAAACCCAGGAAUUGAGUUGUU
rfam:Oryza meridionalis cultivar OR44 (W2112) chromosome 1, whole genome shotgun sequence.